rnacentral:sRNA from 1 species
AACGACAAAAACAGAGAAAAGCAAUUUAAAUGUCACAUUAAGCAGGACAUUUCUGCAGAUCCUUCUUUCUUUGGAAAAACAUUUUGCUUCGGAGAAGGGUCUACUUGCUGAGUUGAAAUGAAAAAAGUUUGUGUUUUAAAUUGGUCUCAGACAUUGAGGAGGAAUUUUUAAUAAGAAAUUUAAUGCUGAUUGAUUGAAUGUCUUGUUUUGCUAAAUGUCAAUUGGGUAUUGAAUGACAAAAAGAAGGCAAGAAAAAAAAUUAGGCUGGAAAAAUUUGAAGGCAGUUAUUGUUUUACUUUACUAAGAAAUGUCCAAAUAUUUUAUGAAAAUUUUAUUUAAUUUUAAAAAUUAAUAGAGAUGGACAUCUAUCAUAUAAAUACCCAAUAUCUUAACACCUAUUGGGUAUUUAUAAGAAAUUUAUCCAGAAAAUUACGGAUAAAUAAGCAAUGUGCGGGUUUUUUAUUGAAUAGAUGUCCUUCUUUCAAAAGGAAUUAAAUUUAAAGUAAAUAUUGGCUUGCCCAAAAAGUAA